AUGAAGGAUAUCAACAAAAUGCAACUUCACAAGGCUGGCUGUGUGGUCCUGUCUGUGAGCAACCAAAGCAUGGAUUACCCCAAAUGGAUAGGUCACUGUUUGCAGGACCGCGGCCUCUCAGUGGAAUUGAUUUACCUGCAGGCGGAGUCGGGCCUGACCCGGCCCUACAAGAUCUCCGCUCCAACGGUUCCCCCUUAUGUAUUCUCGUCGAACAGACCAAUGUAGCUCUGUCCUCGUGCACAGUAAUCAUAUUUUCAGAAUCCCUCAGAAUCCACUGCAACAUGCCCAAGGACCAUGCCAUGGACUUUGUGAUGGCGGAGUAUGGCCGUGGGCUUGGGCAGCGGAUGCAGCAGAGAAGGACCCUGCAGAAACGGGGGCGCGGGCGGCCGAGCUGGUGGACGACUACCUGGAGAGGGUGAAGGUGGAGAAGCAUGCCGUGCCCUCUGACACCCGCCAGCUGCUCUUCUUCCUGGCCGAUGGAGUCCACCUGUACCCCGAGGAGCUGAGCACCAUUGCAGAGUAUCUCCGCAACUGCCAGGACCAUCUGCAAGCCACGUCCAAUGAGACAGGUGAUGGCCCCCUUCCUGAGAGGACGAAGAUGUUGCCUCCUGGUUUAGGGAAACCCCCACCUCUGCUACCUACCCCCUCAGGCCCUCGUGGCAGAGAGACACCCCCUGGGAGGAGAGAGCACUCUGCUACACCCCUCAUGACUUCUCCAGGCCCAAGACCAAGCCCCCUCCACUGCUGUCCAUGCACAAGGGUCAAGGGCCCCCUCAUGGUCCCCCACCCCCUCGCGCCCCCCUUUCUACACACGGCCUCCGUGGUCCAUUACAUCGAGGACCCCCACACCACCACGGCCCCCGAGGAGCCCCACCCUCACUGAAGAGCCUUCAUAUGGGACCCCAGCCUGGGCUGUUCACCUGUUCAGCUUAGUCACAUGCUUUACUGUUUCAUACCUGUCACGUGUCAUCUUAGGUUAGCCUCACUUGUUCCUUCAUGCCUGUCACGUGUCAUCUUAGGUUAGCCUCACUUGUUCCUUCAUGCCUGUCACGUGUCAUCUUAGGUUAGCCUCACUUGUUCCUUCAUGCCUGUCACGUGUCAUCUUAGGUUAGCCUCACUUGUUCCUUCAUGCCUGUCACGUGUCAUCUUAGGUUAGCCUCACUUGUUCCUUCAUGCCUGUCACAUGUCAUCUUAGGUUAGCCUCACUUGUUCCAUGAAAAUGAAAUGUAAGCGUCUUAAAGAGGAAACGCACCAGAGGGAUUUAGAAGUGGGUGGCCGUCCUAUCGCCACGGACCAUAGAAAACUGUCCGUCGUGUUCUUUUCAUUUCUCGAUGCUUCUACAUGUUGAAUUGUCACUGUUCUUCAACACCCAGCAGGUAAUUGACUGCACGGCGUAUGUUCGUUAUGGCGUGUCUUCUCUCUUUGUGUCAGCAACACACAAUACAAAACAGCAACGUUGAUGUAACAUGUUCGAUGUCCACAAAUGUUAUCCAACCAUGUUCCUCUCUCCUGCCUGAUCAGGUGGUCUCCCUAACACACCCAGGCGCUGAGAGAACAUAAUCUCUAGAACAGCAUGGACAGACGGCAGAAAGCAUCAGGACUCAUUGUCAUACUGGCCUGAGGAGUGGGAUCUCCUUCAGCUCAGUGCCCUCUGCUGCCCCCUCAGGAACCCACACUAGCACUCCUCAUCCAGACCCAUGUGUAGAUAGUGGAUCCAUAGUUCAGCAAGCUGAAGUGGAAUAUUGUGAGUUGCCUUUGACUAUUUGGAAGUUCACAGCUCAAUAUUUAUGAGUGUGAGUUGACCCACUACUAUGUUCAGGAGCCAGUCAGAACAAAUGAUCAGGUUUUAAGUUUCAUUCCCAGAUUCUUUGUUUUAUAUUUGUCUGUUUUUGUCUUUCUUUUAACUGGAAAUUGUGUGUCAAAUGUUAUGCCGGUAAUACAUAACACAAUAAAGGCUAAACAAGUCAAAAUAUCUAUA